rnacentral:rRNA from 1 species
CACCGCGGUUAGACGAGAGGCCCUAGUUGAUUAUAUAACGGCGUAAAGGGUGGUUAAGGAUAAGAAAAAAUAAAGCCAAAUGGCCCUUUGGCCGUCAUACGCUUCUAGGUGUCCGAGGCCCCAACACGAAAGUAGCUUUAAUAAACUCACCUGAACCCACGAAAACUGAGAAA